AACUAACACUUUAGCUACAUGUGGCCAUGCUAAUUCAACUUGAAAACAAAUUAAUAUACUGUAGGAACUAUAUCCUAGGACUAUACGAAGCUAAAGCUAAACGCUAGAGCCAAAAUGAUGCGUUCUCAUUCCAGCGUGGUAUGUUUACGUGUAGCCCAAACAAGAACGUGGCUCGAUGAAAGAUAAAGUCCCACCAGACUUUCAACAAGCAUGAAGCCAAGCUGAAAGGAGUCAUUGGCUUCCAAGCAAUUGAGGAAAGGUUCAGAGAGCUCGGACAAGCAGCGUCUGCGUUUCAAAGAGGUCUUUGCUGAACAUCUGCACAUGGACAUGGAAGGUUCUCCUACGUGAGAUUAUCAGGCUGUGAUAGUGUUCCACUUCUCCCGCUGAUCUUAGAGCAGCUUGUCUCCUUUUGCUAGAGAUGAAUUCAGGAACUGAAGAUUGCCACAAGCCAGUGCGGACACAACAUGCAGCUUAAACUGGCAGCUACAUCGUUACCGUUGCAGACUCACUAAUUAUUCCAUAUGCAUUCAGUACAUUGAUGUAUGUAGUAAAGCAAAGUAAGUAAAUGAACAUCCUGAUUAGUGUUACAAGUGAGAAUGUUUGCCUUCUCACUUCUGCAUCACCCUGUCUUGUUAUCCAAAGGAAGGAACACCAAGCUUCGAAGACAAGAUGCAUUUGCUUUAACAGCCUUGGGUCUGGUGGGGAGUCAGAUAGGAUGGAGCCAGAGCCCGGGUGUAAAAGUCAAACAUAUAUCAUAAAUUAUUAGUCAGUCAAAUGAAACAUCAGAUGUUAAGACUUGAUGUACGACAGGGCACAAGAGAUUAGUUGUUUGUGUAAGAAUGUUCAGUUCAGUAUUGCACCUAACCAGCACAUGACGACUGCGUUGGAUAAGAAAUAGCACAAAGGCACAAUUUUUCCAUUACACAACACUAUUCUGAUCUCAGCCUGUUAUUUAGCAUUUCAUACAGGUGUUAUGAUAAGUGAGUAUUUUGACCAUUUUACCCACAUAUUCAGAGUCUCACAGUGAAACACAAAACAACACAAACCAAAUGAUUUGUUUAACAUGAAAUGUAUUUAUUACAGUGUGUUUACAACUUAUUUGUGAAAAUGACUCGUCCCCACAGACUUCUGUUGGCAGAUGGAGGCCAACACCAUGUCCCAAACCCAGCAGCACAGAGGAAGCAGUAAUAAAGACACUUCCCCUAUGUGGUUUGGACCGGGAGGCUCCUCUUCGUUUGGACCGGAGGCCGGAGGGAGCGGGGAGCUGCAGGAUGCUGGAAGAAACACCAUGAACAGAUGUGUUGUUAACACACAAGUCUACAUUGUGAUGUUAAGCUUAUCACCACUUUACUACUCAGGUAAAUGACUGCUCAGGUGAUUACUUACUGCACUGAGCCUCCAUGAACGCAGGGGACAACUUCUCUCCAGGUGGUCCUAUCCGUGGAUGAAGUUCUCCAGCCUCCACAGCUGCACCUGUCACAACCAAAAUGAACACAUUAGCUCCAGGAGUAGAGGAUGUGAAGAACAGACUAUGAAUAGGCUCUGACAUGUCAUUCUUACUCAGUGUAAAUGUGCAGCUGUUGUUCCUGCGUCGGUUUAAGAUCUCCAUCUUGGGCCCGAGCUGCUUGGAACGCAGGAUCUUGGUCCAGUUCGGUUGUGUCUGGUAAAGUGAAAGCAUUAGAAUACAGAGUGAGUAAAUACAUCAGCGAAAAAUAGUUAAGACUUGAACAUUUCAGUUGUAUUUACCGUUGCUGGGGGUCACCUUCUGCAGCUAAAAACACAAUAAUACAAAACGAUCACUAAUAAUAAGAACAAAUAAAGUGUCAGAACAGACAUAGAACAGAACAUCUUAUCUCAAUCUAACUUAAACUUUACCUAACAGAACAAAUAGUAAAACAAAUAAAUUGGUACGUGUCUCCUCCUCUGAUGAGGAGGAGAUGAAGACGGUGUCCUCUUGAGGGGGUGGGCUCCUCCAGGACGGUCCAUCCACCUCAAGGGACAAAGCAGCAGAACACUCAGUACGGCAUGUUCACAAUUUACCCUAAACAUCAUCUGUUUGUGACAGAGUAGAUGCAAGUAACAGUUCUGGACUAAGUCAGUGCAGGAGCCUGAUGGAACUGUGACGGCAUAAUGUGUUUACAAUGUGUUUACUGUCACGAGUCAUGAGAAUAAUUUCACAUAAUGCAAUAAUACUAAACAAAAAGACUCUAAACAGUUUAGGUCUGCUCACCUUUUAAACUGGGUGGAUGCGGACGACGUUGGUGCGAAACCAGAGCUUUGGUUUCCACCAAGUCACCGUUUCCUCCGCUGGACUCGGGUUGGCGUCUGCAGAAACUGAGAAGAAAGCAACAAUUUACUCGAGUUUAAGACAUGACAGUAUAAAAAACACUACUCAACAAAUACAGGCCCCAGGAAACCGAAUCCACAGUAAAACCCACAUGAUGAGAAGGACAUGAAUGAAUUUAAAUGAGAGUUGUGACAAAUGUUUCUUACAUUCACAGAUGAAGGGGCUGAGAUCAGCUGCCCCGGUCUCCACCGUCUUCAGCCUCCUCUCCGCCCAGACGUCCUGAGCUGUGACCUCAUAUUUUUCCCUUCUUCUUCUCUGCCUUCCUGUUGCUCAGUCUUCUUUCCUUUUCUUCCUUCUUCCGCUGUUUUUUCUUCUCCUUCUCAUCCUUUUCGCAUUGUUCCAUCCAUUUUUUCUUCUCUCUCUCAAAUGUCUUUAGCUCCUGCUGUUUCUUCUUCUUCUCCCUUUUCUGCUCUUCUCUCUCUUGUUUUCUUCUUCUCUCCUCUUCCUCCUUCAGUCGUUCGUCCUCCUUUUUGAGCUCCUUUGUGACCAUCUUUGAAACAGCCUUCUCUCUUUUCUCGUCCUUCUUCUGUUGUCGUUCUGUCCGUCUUUUAAUCCUUUGCUGCCUUUCUUUCUCUUCUUUCUUCCUUAUUUCCUCUUCCUUCUUCUGCCACUUCUCUUUUCUCUUAUCUUCCUUCCUCUCGUCUUUCUUCUCUUUCUUCUCAUACUUGUCUCGCUGCUCCUUUUCUUUCUGCCAUCGUUGCUGUCUUGCUUCUUCUUGCUUGGUAAGUAUUUCCUUUUCCUUCUUCUCUAGCUUCUUCAGUCGGAUUUCCUCCAGUUCUGGCAGGUACUCGCUGACAUUGAAGUUCUCCAACACGGUUUUCUUCAUCUCCUCUUUCCGCGCUUCCUCACGUCUUCUUUUGCUUUCUUGCUCCAUGGCGAUCUGAUGACUAACGGCCUGCAUCUGUAUGCGGCAUUCUAUUUCGUCUUGUUCCUUUAGUGCUGCCAUCCUUUGAUCUCUGUCCAUUUCUUUCAAGUUGCAUUCCACACGUUUCCUUAUCAGCUUGUUCCGCCACUCCUGGACAUAUGCAGAUGCAUAGUCCACUUUGGCUUCUUUGUUUCUUCUUCUUCUUCUUUCCUCUUCUGCUUUCUCUCUUCUCUGUCUCUCUGGUUCUUCUGUCACGGAUCCUACACGGGUCUUCUUAUUUGCCAUUGUGCCAUUCCUUCUUCCUUCGCUCUCUUUUCUUCUUCUCUUUCAAUUCAAACACAAAACAGAAAAGAUUAUUAACUUGAUACAACUUGUUUGACUUUUGACAACUUACAGCUUUUCCCAUUUACUCAAACACUUGUGUCUGAUAUCACACUAAAAACUGAACUUGCUGCAGCUACAGACACAGGGACACUUGCCUGCCAUGACUUCAACGCCAUCGUAUUAUUUUGGUGUCUACGUGUUGUUUUAUGUUCCUAGUGUAACUAGACAGGACAAAAUAAGUAACGUGAAUGUGGUGUUUGUCCAUUCGACAGAGUAGGAAGUGACCCGGAGGCCAUGACACAGGCAGUAGAGGAGCCAAGACGGUGAAACCCAUGUUAGACACUAAAUGACCACGGUACGGCGCUGUUUCCCCACUCUCAAAGCAAACGCUGAAUAAACGAUCGGAUUGGACACAGUUACAGUACUUUACGGUAGGCUUUACAACAGUGUUAUAUUAUUAGUCAGAUAUUAAUGCACAUGAAUAUUAUUGUAAUGAACCCUGACCUUUGUUAUGUCCGCAAGCCUAGAUUUAACUACAAUAAAUAAACUUGGUUAAUUUAUUUUAAUGAACGCUGCAAACCUCACUUCAACGUCAGAUAAACGCUAAAUAAAGCAUGCACUUGUUCGUUUUGUUCAUAUGCAAUUUAGAAAGUUCACUAAACAAAAAUCUGUGUUUUCAACUGCCAACACAGACACAUCUUUCUCACAUCUUCAUAUUAUCUGAAACAUAACUGAAAACUAAGUUGUUUGCACGCAGGUGAGUAAAUUCCCUACUGUCUUAACGAUAUGUUUUUUUUUAUCAAAUAGACAUUUAAAAAAAAGUAAACCGGUCGUUUUGAUGUAGCUGUGAAACUAUUAUAUCAAAACGAAUCUCUGUCCACUCACUCCAGUCACGCAGCUACUGACAGAACUGGACCUGUGCGCGUGAUCGAGUUUCCAUGGGGAACACGAACACAUGAAUUUAGGCCCAGUCGCCAUUUUGAAUCACAAAAAGUGAUUUCUACACCUUAACAAAAAUAACAGGUUGUCAAUAAAUACUAUAUUAAUACUACAUUCAACACAUAUAUAGACAUUUAAGGGGAAAAUAGCUAAUUAAAACGGAAUAAACCACAUUAAAAACCUUUCCAACCUUAAAAUCAAAUAUUUCUACUACAAAGAUCUUAUGAAACAGUUGUAAGGAGCAAAGUUACUUAUUAAACAGUUGUAAGGAGCAAAGUUUCAUGUAGACUAAUAUAGAAGCAGCGUGUCUUUUCUAACCUGCCAAGCAGAGGUGAAUCUGGGCCACACGCCGGUACUUCCAGACAUCAGCUCACCAGAUGCACCAGUUGGUUCUUUCAGAACAGGUGAGUGACUGUUGCCCAAAUAGUAAAUCCAACGAUCCUUAAAUUGAGUUAAAUAUCCAAGGGCUCGUGGUUCCUGGAGCAAUCCUUAGCCACCACAGAAAAACUUUCGUCCGUCAAGGUUAGCGUCCAACUGCAAAGGGGGGAAUACCCGCGCCUACGGGCCUUAUAUAACUUCCGUCGUUCUGUUUCCAUGACACCCACUGACGCGUGCACGUGCGAACGAGAAAGACGGAAAUACAAGCAUGAAGCCAAGCUGAAAGGAGUCAUUGGCUUCCAAGCAAUUGAGGAAGUAUGUUAUGAUCAUUUGAAGAACGCGCAUAAGUUAAAUCAUCUGAGUUCUACUCAGCCAACAGCAACAAGGCAGAGGCUAAAACAACUGGUGGAGGACCUGCACCACCACCCCUGACGCAUGCAGAGGAGAUGGCCCUCAGCAUGAACACUGGAAAGCAGAGGCUAAAGAAAUUCCUGGAGGGAGUUCGUCAGAACCAGUCACUCACCAGGAUACAAGUGCAUUUGUAAAAUACUCUGAUGGUAAUAUCAGCCUGUUGGAUCCUCCUGUCACAACAGAAGCCCAGUCAGUUGUACUAAGGAGCCCCGCCUCCCUGCUGACGGCUUCAUGUGGCACAGAGCAGAAGUAUGUCCUGCACGGAGAGGUGGGCUACUGCCAGCCAGCAAGCAGAUGGCUUCCACAGAUUAACUACCUCAUGAGCAGAUUAGCUCAGUUUACCCACAUCUUUGCUGAGUGGCUACCUCACCGAAGAAUAAAGCGCCUCUCAGCUUUUAUUUUGUAGGAUUUGCUCCCACCAGGCUGAAAUGUGCUUUUACAGUGGAUGUGACAGCUAAGAGAAAAUGGAAAUGGGCUGACUUGAACAAAUCCCGAUUUUUAGACUGUCUUCCUUCACUGGACAAGCAUCAAGUCAUAAAGGGAGUUAUAGUCACAUCGGUUGUAUCUGCUGACUUUGUAAGAUAAGAUAACUUUAUUAUCUAUAUCUAUAUUAUCUAUAUAUCUAUAUAUAAACUUUAUUUAUUCCACAGUGGGAAAAUUCUUUUGUCUGCAGCAGCAAGGAGACAUUAAAUGGGUAUAGAAGUAUAGACAGUAUAGAAGUAUAGAGGAACAGUAUGGAAUGGACAGCAGCAGUAUUAGCAAAGCAAGAAAAAUAAAAACUCAUUGUUGACAAACAACAAUGAGUUGAACGGAAUACACCAUGUAGGUACAUUUGUGUGUCACUCUAGUGUUGUGUUGCACAGUCUGAUAGCUAUGGGGAGGACUGACCUGCGGUAGCGUUCCUUCCUGCACUGUGGGUGUAACAGUCUUGUGUUGGAGGAGCUGCUCAGAGCCUCUACAGCAGCAGGAUGGAGGAGUCAGACCUGCUAAAGAAGAGAGUCCAGGCUAUUAAAGUAUGAGUGACUCCACUGUUACAGAAGACUGUAACAACAGCCCUAGUUCAGCAUAAAUAUGUUGUUGUGUGUAAAAUGUGUUUUACUUUAGAAUAGUGGUUAUUCACGAGGCAUUAUUACUGUGUUUAUGUAUUUGCUCUGGUGUUAACCUCUAAUUCAGAUAUUUUGAGAAUUAAUUUGAUCCUUCAGGAGAAGCAUCAUAUUCAGCAACUCAUUCGGGUGAAGAAAGUGGAAUUGGACCAGGAGAAGGUCAAACUACAGCAUCUAAAG